AAAGUUUGGCACCCAUGGCGUGGCGGUGCCCCAGGAUGGGCAGGGUCCCGCUGGCCUGGUGCUUGGCGCUGUGCGGCUGGGCGUGCAUGGCCCCCGGGGGCACGCGGGCUGAAGAAAGUCCCUUCGUGGGCAACCCAGGGAAUAUCACAGGUGCCCGGGGACUCACGGGCACCCUUCGGUGUCAGCUCCAGGUUCAGGGAGAGCCCCCCGAGGUACACUGGCUUCGGGACGGACAGAUCCUGGAGCUCGCGGACAGCACCCAGACCCAGGUGCCCCUGGGUGAGGAUGAACAGGAUGACUGGAUAGUGGUCAGCCAGCUCAGAAUCACCUCCCUGCAGCUUUCCGACACGGGACAGUACCAGUGUUUGGUGUUUCUGGGACAUCAGACCUUCGUGUCCCAGCCUGGCUACGUUGGGCUGGAGGGCUUGCCUUACUUCCUGGAGGAGCCCGAGGACAGGACUGUGGCCGCCAACACCCCCUUCAAUCUGAGCUGCCAAGCCCAGGGACCCCCAGAGCCCGUGGACCUACUCUGGCUCCUGGAUGCUGUCCCCCUGGCCACGGCUCCAGGUCACGGCCCCCAGCGCAGCCUGCAUGUUCCAGGGCUGAACAAGACAUCCUCUUUCUCCUGCGAAGCCCAUAACGCCAAGGGGGUCACCACAUCCCGCACAGCCACCAUCACAGUGCUCCCCCAGCAGCCCCGUAACCUCCACCUGGUCUCCCGCCAACCCACGGAGCUGGAGGUGGCUUGGACUCCAGGCCUGAGCGGCAUCUACCCCCUGACCCACUGCACCCUGCAGGCUGUGCUGUCAGACGAUGGGAUGGGCAUCCAGGCGGGAGAACCAGACCCCCCAGAGGAGCCCCUCACCUCGCAAGCAUCCGUGCCCCCCCAUCAGCUUCGGCUAGGCAGCCUCCAUCCUCACACCCCUUAUCACAUCCGCGUGGCAUGCACCAGCAGCCAGGGCCCCUCAUCCUGGACCCACUGGCUUCCUGUGGAGACGCCGGAGGGAGUGCCCCUGGGCCCCCCUGAGAACAUUAGUGCUACGCGGAAUGGGAGCCAGGCCUUCGUGCAUUGGCAGGAGCCCCGGGCGCCCCUGCAGGGUACCCUGUUAGGGUACCGGCUGGCGUAUCAAGGCCAGGACACCCCAGAGGUGCUAAUGGACAUAGGGCUAAGGCAAGAGGUGACCCUGGAGCUGCAGGGGGACGGGUCUGUGUCCAAUCUGACAGUGUGUGUGGCAGCCUACACUGCUGCUGGAGAUGGACCCUGGAGCCUCCCAGUACCCCUGGAGGCCUGGCGCCCAGGGCAAGCACAGCCAGUCCACCAGCUGGUGAAGGAACCUUCAACUCCUGCCUUCUCGUGGCCCUGGUGGUAUGUACUGCUAGGAGCAGUCGUGGCUGCUGCCUGUGUCCUCAUCUUGGCUCUCUUCCUUGUCCACCGGCGAAAGAAGGAGACCCGUUAUGGAGAAGUGUUUGAACCAACAGUGGAAAGAGGUGAACUGGUAGUCAGGUACCGCGUGCGCAAGUCCUACAGUCGUCGGACCACUGAAGCUACCUGUAAGUGAACCCUAUGCCCCACUGCCCUGGCCUGGAUCUAAAGGCUGUAGAGAAUCUGGCCUGCUGGGCUUCUGUAUAUGUGUGAGCCAAAAGUUUCUAAAGGCCUUGGGAUACUAGAAUGUCAGAACCACAGACCCUAGAAAUAACAGAUUUGUGG
rnacentral:sRNA from 1 species